rnacentral:rRNA from 1 species
CGGCCGCGUCGACAUGAACGCUAGCUACAGGCUUAACACAUGCAAGUCGAGGGGCAGCAUGAACUUAGCUUGCUAAGUUUGAUGGCGACCGGCGCACGGGUGAGUAACGCGUAUCCAACCUUCCGUUUACUCGGGUAUAGCCUUUCGAAAGAAAGAUUAAUCCCCGAUAGUAUGGUAAGAUUGCAUGAAAUUACCAUUAAAGAUUAAUCGGUAAACGAUGGGGAUGCGUUCCAUUAGGUAGUAGGCGGGGUAACGGCCCACCUAGCCGACGAUGGAUAGGGGUUCUGAGAGGAAGGUCCCCCACAUUGGAACUGAGACACGGUCCAAACUCCUACGGGAGGCAGCAGUGAGGAAUAUUGGUCAAUGGGCGAGAGCCUGAACCAGCCAAGUAGCGUGAAGGAUGAAGGUUCUAUGGAUUGUAAACUUCUUUAUAAGGGAAUAACGGGCACUACGUGUAGUGUUAUGCAUGUACCUUAUGAAUAAGCAUCGGCUAACUCCGUGCCAGCAGCCGCGGUAAUACGGAGGAUGCGAGCGUUAUCCGGAUUUUAAGGG